ACUCCUCUCGCCUUCUCCCUUCCCUGGGAGCAGCCCCUGGCUCAACCUCCACCUCCAUGCUGCCUCGGACCACCUGCCCCGUCCAGCUGCCAUCACCUGCCAGCUGCUGACGUGCCCCUCCUUGUGCGGAGAGGCUGGGCCCAGUCUCACUCCACUGAUGGCGCAGCCGCUCUGCUCUUCCUCACAGGAGGCGUCAGCUCCAUGGAUAAGCCACCACACCUGAUCAAGGCAUCACCGUUGAACCUCCUAAGAGGAAAACAUAAGGCUGUGGAAUACCAGGAACUGGAAUUCUAGGUAAAAAGUUCUAGAAGGAAGCCUCGGUGCCAGAAUCUGCAAACACACAGAGCACUCCGCAGUGAGCAGCACCAGUGAUCCCAUCAGAAGCCUGCUUUCAUCUUUGAAGGUUGCCCCAGACAACAAGGCAUCAAAAGCCAGGGGAUCCAGAGAAAACACAAAUGACCAAGAGAGAAACUGGGGGAAAAGCCAAAAGGUUGAGAGCCAAACCGUCUAGAUGCUUCCUGCCUGCGGUGUGGCACAGAUUCACUUCUGAUCUACAGGUGGUGAUUGUCAUUUCAGAAACAAGGAGAGUCAGCAAUUACCAGCCAGCCAAGGUCCUGGAAGCUGACGUAGAGCUCGUGCCGACGGCAGACCUGCCGCCCGUGGGAGCCGUGGACGUCAUCUGCAGGGACAGAAGGGCAAGGUCUUUUCUGGGGUUCCUGCUCUGUGCAGCUACUACAGGGUACCAGGGUGGGAGAUGCCCUGAUGAGCACAUUUGUCAAAUGAAUGACAGGAAACCAUUUGGUCUCAUAAAGCCCAUCCCUGAAACUCUGCUUGUACCGUGACCCAGCUGAAGAGCCUGCCAUGGCUCCCGACGGCUAGAGUGACACUGUGCUCAGCACUCCCCUGUCCUUCAGCCUGUGAGCGUCUGGACGCGCCAGGAAACAGCCCAGCAGGA